GAAAAAAGAAUGUUAGCUGUUGGACAGGCAACGUUAUUCUGCUUAGUAGAAUAAUUAUAUUAUCCUUGUCUUCCUAAGAGAGGGAAUACUUAGUAACUUUUUCAUGUUGUCUGUCUCCAUCUACAGACACACGCAGAGUAGUUGUGAAUAUCUAGAUCACUGGGCUCAUUCCUAUAGAGGAAAAAAUGUCUUUUGGGUAUGGGUCAUGUUGGAAAAUUGUCACAUGCUGUAUGUUAGAUCUCAAACAAGUCUCACCCAGAACCUGGGCAGUGAGCAUCAAGCAAAACAAAUGUCCCCAGCCUCUCUCCCUUCCCAGCUUUGUCCAGCAGCCCAGCCCUUUUGUUUUUGGUAAAGGGGUGAUGUAAUCUCCUGAAAUGGGCAGUGUUGUCAGGUCCCAGGAAGACUGGAAUGUUCAAGGUUCCUGACACUUCUAAAGCUACUGCUGAGAUGUAAACUCCCUUAGGGUCAAUGAGCCCAUAAGAAGUGUUACCAAUGAUAUAAAUCUGAGAUCUUAUCUCUAAUAAAGGGGUUAAAUUAUUCUAGAUAGAAUAAAAUUAAAUAAAACAAAACAAAACAUCAAAACUUGAGGCCAAGUCGCAGAAGGUCAAUGUUACACAGGACUGGAGGAGGAGACUUUAAGACAAUAUACUUAAUGGUUAAAGUUGGUCCCCAGUGCUCCAGCCCAAUCUAAGGAAGAGGAGGCUGGUGAAGGCCCCACCUUCCUUCACCAGAGGCCUGAUGGGGAAGCAGCAGAGGGGAGGAAACCUCUCUUCCGCUUCCUCUCGGCUCUUCUGGCCAACCCUGGCAGCCUAAGUCUAAAACAGGCUUAUGAGCGCCAUGUCUGAAUGCAUCCCUGGCUUGUGGUGCUUUCAGAUGAAGUAGGCCCCUGGGGUGGCCUGUGGAGCUUGUGAGGAGUCCCAGACAAGCACCCACAGAUGGCUGGGUCCUCACCUUGUCUUUCCUGGCAACUCAUGAGCAUGUGUGUGAAAGGGAGAGGGGUCAGGGGCGCCCCACCCCCAAGUUUCUCCUUGUCAGGUGUUUGAUCACAGCAACAAGAUAAGUAUCUAAGGUACUUGGUGAUGAUAGAAUGGCAGACAGCAGAGCCUGGUGGCCCAGCUGCAAGUCUAGCCACUCAAUGAGACCCAGAGUCAAAAUGAACACUAGAAAAUAGCCUCUGGCAGCCCAGUGGCAGAGCAUGCACCUUGCUUCUGGGUUCAAUCUCUAAUGCACAGAGGGAAAAGAAUUAAAAGUUUUUCUCAGCUCCUUAACAUGAUGGGACUCCAGGGCUGAACUUAACACUUACUUUGAAGGCAAAGGUAAAGUGUCCAUGAAUUUUUGCAGUCAGCGUCUAUCCAGUGCUCACCAAGCAGUUUCAGCUCCAGUGCCCUGGGCUUGGUAAGUGGCUAGAAAUGGGAUGCUGGGAAGGAGGCGUGCCAGGAGGCAGGUGUAUUUGCUGUGAGCAAACUGGACUAAAAGAGGUUUAGCUGCCACUGGAGCCACUUGUGUUGGUGCCCAUGGUCUUCCCUCCCAUCGCCUGUCAGUCUUUCUUGGGUGUUCAUUAGGACUGGGGCAGGAGAAAAUGUAAAAACUGUAGUAAAGUACAAACAACAUAAAAUUAGCUUCUUAAGUAGGCUUGUGUGCGCUUCGGUGGCCUUAGAGGCUUUGACUUUUCUUACCAACCUUCACACUUCCAUAUCUCAUAAAUCCAUCUCUGAGCCCCAGGAGACCACCAUUUUGUUCCUGGAACUGUGACUGACGUUGUGUAGCUUGCAUAACUCAAGUUCUUUUUUGGAGUGGGUGUGGGGUGGGGUGGUUUUUUUCUCUGUGUAGCCCUGGCUGUUGUGGAACUCACUCUGUAGACCAGGCUGGCCUCAAACUUAGAAAUCUACCUACCUCUGCCUCCCAAGUGCUAGGAUUAAAGGCGUGUGCCACCACUGCCCAGCAUAACUGAAGUUUUUUUUUGACUGUUUGUUGACUUACUUGCUCUGUUCUUGAGGUUGACCACGAGUUAGCAACUAUGGGCCCUUGUGGAGGCUUGAAUGACAAUGGCUCCUACAGCUUAUCUUUUCAAAUGCUUUCUCAUCCAGCAGUGGCACUAUUUGAAAAGGAUAGUCCUUCUUAAUGCUUUAUAAAAUUCUAUAUAAGACUUAUUUGUUUAUCCUGUUGUUGACAGAUACUUGGUUCCAGGGGUCUUGGCUAUUGUAAACUGCUGCUAUAAACAUCCUACUGUAAAUGUUUUGAUAAAAAAUAUCCCACUGCAUUUCUGUUGUGUGUUAUCUAAGUAAGGUAAGAGAGUACAUUCAUUUCUACUUCAACAGAUACUUCCAAGCAGUUUCUCAGUGUGGCACCUAGAGUUUAUCUACCCAACUUCAGUAUUUCUAGAUCAUCUCUAAUGCUUGAUAUUUUCCCCUCUUUAUCUUACUUGUUCUUGUAGGGUUCAGUAAUUUAUCUUUUUUAUUUUAGAGUUCCCUAGUGAUAAACUGAAAGUUGGCAGAGUAUUUUGGUACACUGUGUGAAGUUUACCCUUGUAUUAUUUCAAAUGCUGAUUUCUCUGUCCAACAAUCUGGUUUCAAUCUGGACGGGGCUUUGUUUUAUUUCUUCUUAGAAGCUCCUGCCUCAAGUUUAUAUAAAUGCUGCUCCUCAUUCAUUCUCUGCCUGCCAAUAAAAGCCAACAAGCCAAUACAGAGCUUUAGAGAAAAUGGGAGGGAUUUCCCAUUCUAGGAGGAAGUGACAGGAAGUGAAGGAGGAGAGCCACUAGGAGAGGUCGAGAAAACAUCAGGAGAAUAGAGAGGGAACAAGAAAAGAUAAAGAACUGCAAGUAAUAUGAAGAUAUGUCUGAAAAGAUAAAGAACUGCAAGUAAUAUGAAGAUAUGUCUUGGAGGAAGCCUGACUAACUUGGAAGUUUAGAAUGGAGUGAUAAUUGUUCAGUAUUUGUCUCAAGGCAAUUUUAAUAAAUCUUAGUCUCUCUGUGCGGUUACUAGGGAAUUAGCUGGUUAAGAAAUAGCUGCCAUCAUAGUACCUUUAUCCAUCUAUACUAACACACAUAUGCAUACAGAGAUUUAGAAACCUUUGUGUAUUCUGAAUAUAUUUUUUGCUAUCCAAUGUGCUGCUUUUACACUCUGUUAAGGUAUUCUUUGCUGUUAUUAUUUACUGUUGUUUAUUUGGGUGGUGGGAUGCUGGGUCUUGAACUCAGGGCCUUGAGAAUCUAUAUAAAUGUUCUACUACUAAGCUAUGUCUGCAAACUCUACAGCCAUUAUUAAAUGAAUAGACAUUGUUAAUUUAAUAAAAGUCAAUAU
rnacentral:lncRNA from 1 species